AUUGAACGCUGGCGGCAUGCCUUACACAUGCAAGUCGAACGGCAGCACGGGAGCAAUCCUGGUGGCGAGUGGCGAACGGGUGAGUAAUAUAUCGGAACGUGCCCAGUCGUGGGGGAUAACGCAGCGAAAGCUGUGCUAAUACCGCAUACGAUCUAUGGAUGAAAGCGGGGGAUCGCAGGACCUCGCGCGAUUGGAGCGGC
rnacentral:rRNA from 1 species